CUAUAGGCCCUGGUCUAAUGUAGUGCUCUAUAGUGCCCUAUAGGCCCUGGUCUAAUGUAGUGCCAUAUAGGCCCUGGUCUAAUGUAGUGCUCUAUAGUGCCCUAUAGGCCCUGGUCUAAUGUAGUGCUCUAUAGAGCCCUAUAGGCCCUGGUCUAAUGUAGUGCCCUAUAGGCCCUGGUCUAAUGUAGUGCUCUAUAGAGCCCUAUAGGCCCUGGUCUAAUGUAGUGCCCUAUAGGCCCUGGUCUAAUGUAGUGCCCUAUAGGCCCUGGUCUAAUGUAGUGCCAUAUAGGCCCUGGUCUAAUGUAGUGCACUAUAGAGCCCUAAAGGCCCUGGUCUAAUGUAGUGCUCUAUAGAGCCC
ensembl:lncRNA